rnacentral:pre_miRNA from 17 species
GUUCGUGGGGUUUUCCUUUGUGCUUGAUCUAACCAUGUGGUGGAACAAUACAAAUUGAACAUGGUUCUGUCAAGCACCAUGGAAGGCUGCAUACUC